CCUACGGGAGGCAGCAGUAGGGAAUAUUGGACAAUGGGGGAAACCCUGAUCCAGCAACGCCGCGUGAGUGAUGAAGGCCUUCGGGUCGUAAAGCUCUGUCGUAAGGGAAAAAACAAAUGAUGGUACCUUACAAGAAAGGACCGGCCAACUUCGUGC
rnacentral:rRNA from 1 species